AGGCACAGCUGUCCUUCACUCACAGAGGAAGGGCAACUCGAGGAGGCACAUUUUAGGAAACUGCCCAUGGAGCCAGCUUCGAUUCUCCAAACCUCAUCAGCCUGCACUGGCUGCCAGCUUCGAUUCUCCAAACCUCGUCAGCCUGCGCUAGCUGCCAGCUCCCUGACUCGGCAGCAAGGAGGGCCUCAGCAGCCGACCCCCAUGCCCGGCACCCCCUUCACCACAGGGUCCUGAAAACUCCAAAGAGCAGUGCCCUGUGCAUUAAACACAGACUGCGCCCUUGUACUCAGGUACGACCAUUUGUCCUGGACAAAAAUUAAACUGAUGAGGGAACAAAAUAGGGCCUUAUAGAAGGUGAGUGGAAAAGCAGGGAAGGCAAACCCCCAGAUUUAGGAGAGAGGAUGGAAGUGGCCUGGGGAGCAGAGGCAGGAGGUUUUGUGGACAGGGCUGGUGGAGCUCUGGGGGGAGCACAGGCAGGAGGCUUUGUGGAGAGGGCUGGUGGAUCUCUGGGGAAGAAGAGGCAGGAGGUUUUGUGGACAGGGCUGGUGGAGCUCUGGGGGAAGAAGAGGCAGGAGGUUUUGUGGACAGGGCUGGUGGAGCUCUGUGGGGAUCAGACACAGGA
rnacentral:sRNA from 1 species